UAUGUGCCUGAAUAUUUCUCUGCAACAUAA
rnacentral:piRNA from 1 species